rnacentral:rRNA from 1 species
CCUACGGGGGGCAGCAGUGGGGAAUAUUGCACAAUGGGGGAAACCCUGAUGCAGCGACGCCGCGUGGGUGAAGAAGUAUUUCGGUAUGUAAAGUCCUAUCAGCAGGGAAGAAAGAAGACGGUACCUGACUAAGAAGCCCCGGCUAACUACGUGCCAGCAGCCGCGGUAAUACGUAGGGGGCGAGCGUUAUCCGGAUUCACUGGGUGUAAAGGGAGCGUAGACGGCCGUGCAAGCCAGGAGUGAAAGCCCGGGGCCCAACCCCGGGACUGCUUUUGGAACUGUGCGGCUGGAGUGCGGGAGGGGCAGGCGGAAUGCCUGGUGUAGCGGUGAAAUGCGUAGAUAUCAGGAGGAACACCGGCGGCGAAGGCGGCCUGCUGGACCGCGACUGACGUUGAGGCUCGAAAGCGUGGGGAGCGAACAGGAUUAGAUACCCCUGUAGUC